GGAAUAGAGCUCGCCGUAGCGUUUCUUUCUUUUCUGAACAGGCGCAGUCCGAGCGAACUAGCAAAAGGAGUAAAAGGCUCCUACAUAACCUGUCAUAACCAAUAUAUUGUAUGAGUCAGAAGGUAGAAAAACCAAUAUUAUCGGGUCAACGGAUCAAGACCAGAAAAAGAGGUGAG